rnacentral:rRNA from 1 species
UUGGCCGGGCGACGGUUGUCCCGGUUUAAGCGUGUAGGUGUGUGUUCCAGGUAAAUCCGGUUCACUUUAACACUGAGGCGUGACGACGAGGCACUACGGUGCUGAAGCAACAAAUGCCCUGCUUCCAGGAAAAGCCUCUAAGCAUCAGGUAACAUCAAAUCGUACCCCAAACCGACACAGGUGGUCAGGUAGAGAAUACCAAGGCGCUUGAGAGAACUCGGGUGAAGGAACUAGGCAAAAUGGUGCCGUAACUUCGGGAGAAGGCACGCUGACACGUAGGUGAAGUGAUUUACUCACGGAGCUGAAGUCAGUCGAAGAUACCAGCUGGCUGCAACUGUUUAUUAAAAACACAGCACUGUGCAAACACGAAAGUGGACGUAUACGGUGUGACGCCUGCCCGGUGCCGGAAGGUUAAUUGAUGGGGUCAGCGCAAGCGAAGCUCCUGAUCGAAGCCCCGGUAAACGGCGGCCGUAACUAUAACGGUCCUAAGGUAGCGAAAUUCCUUGUCGGGUAAGUUCCGACCUGCACGAAUGGCGUAAUGAUGGCCAGGCUGUCUCCACCCGAGACUCAGUGAAAUUGAACUCGCUGUGAAGAUGCAGUGUACCCGCGGCAAGACGGAAAGACCCCGUGAACCUUUACUAUAGCUUGACACUGAACAUUGAGCCUUGAUGUGUAGGAUAGGUGGGAGGCUUUGAAGUGUGGACGCCAGUCUGCAUGGAGCCGACCUUGAAAUACCACCCUUUAAUGUUUGAUGUUCUAACGUGGACCCGUAAUCCGGGUUGCGGACAGUGUCUGGUGGGUAGUUUGACUGGGGCGGUCUCCUCCUAAAGAGUAACGGAGGAGCACGAAGGUUGGCUAAUCCUGGUCGGACAUCAGGAGGUUAGUGCAAUGGCAUAAGCCAGCUUGACUGCGAGCGUGACGGCGCGAGCAGGUGCGAAAGCAGGUCAUAGUGAUCCGGUGGUUCUGAAUGGAAGGGCCAUCGCUCAACGGAUAAAAGGUACUCCGGGGAUAACAGGCUGAUACCGCCCAAGAGUUCAUAUCGACGGCGGUGUUUGGCACCUCGAUGUCGGCUCAUCACAUCCUGGGGCUGAAGUAGGUCCCAAGGGUAUGGCUGUUCGCCAUUUAAAGUGGUACGCGAGCUGGGUUUAGAACGUCGUGAGACAGUUCGGUCCCUAUCUGCCGUGGGCGCUGGAGAACUGAGGGGGGCUGCUCCUAGUACGAGAGGACCGGAGUGGACGCAUCACUGGUGUUCGGGUUGUCAUGCCAAUGGCACUGCCCGGUAGCUAAAUGCGGAAGAGAUAAGUGCUGAAAGCAUCUAAGCACGAAACUUGCCCCGA